rnacentral:rRNA from 1 species
UACGUAGGUGGCAAGCGUUGUCCGGAAUACUGGGCGUAAAGCGUGCGCAGGCGGUUUUGUAAGCCAGAUGUGAAAUCCCCCGGGCUUAACCUGGGAAUGGCAUUUGGGACUGCAAGGCUGGAGUGCGGCAGGAGGAGACGUGGAAUUCCUGGUGUAGCAGUGAAAUGCGUUAGAUAUCAGGAGGAAUACCGAUGGCGAAGGCAGGUCUCUGGGCUGACACUGACGCUGCA